UGUUCUGUGGCGAAAUUGAUUAACGAACCCUGUCUAGUGAAAUGGGGAGACGUGGGUUCAAAUCCCACCAGAACCA
rfam:Aedes albopictus isolate Foshan contig30408, whole genome shotgun sequence.